rnacentral:rRNA from 1 species
CGUAGGAGGCAAGCGUUAUCCGGAUUCACUGGGCGUAAAGCGCGUGCAGGCGGUGCGGUAAGUUAGGCGUGAAAUCUCCCGGCUCAACUGGGAGAGGUCGUCUAAUACUACCGUACUUGAGAGCAGAAGAGGAAGAUGGAAUUCCCGGUGUAGUGGUGAAAUGCGUAGAUAUCGGGAGGAACACCAGUGGCGAAGGCGAUCUUCUGGUCUGUUUCUGACGCUCAGACGCGACAGCUAGGGUAGUAAACGGGAUUAGAGACCCCGGUAAUCCUAGCCGUAAACGAUGUGAACUUGGCGUUGGUGGGUUAAACUCCAUCAGUGCCGUAGCAAACGCGAUAAGUUCACCGCCUGGGGACUACGGCCGCAAGGUUA